rnacentral:rRNA from 1 species
UUCCUUCAGCAGUCAAGAAUAUUAGUCAAUGCUCGAAAGAGUGAACUAGCUAACUGAAAUCAAUUAUAUAAAUUGAUAACAUAAGGGAAAAUAAUGAUAUUACCUUAUUAUUAGUGUCGUCCAAAACUGGUGCCAGAAGACUCGGUAAGGCCAGAGACAUAAACGUUAAUCGUCUUAAUCAGGCGUAAAGGGUUUGUAGGCGGUUUUUAAUUAAUUUAUAAAUCUGAAAUAAAGAUAAAUAAAUUAAGAAUAAAAACUAGAAUCAAAUAGAGGAUAUAUUAAAUAAUGCUUAGAGUAGGUCUGAUAUCCUUAAAUACUAAGUAGAAUAUUAAAGGCGAAAGCUUUUUUCCAUUAAUGAUUGACGCUCAGAAACGAAGGUGAGGAUAGGAAAUAGGAUUAGAUACCCAAAAUACCCCUCUCUGUCAACGAUGAAUGGUAAUUAUUAAUAAAAAAUUUAUUAAUGAUAAUGUUAACACGAUAACCAUUCCGCCUUGUGAGUACAACUGCAAAGUUGAAAACAAAAAAAUUAGUCGGUUUCGGAGCAAACGAAGUGAAGCAUGUUAUUUAAUUCGAUAAUCCGCAAAAAGGAUAA